rnacentral:lncRNA from 1 species
UCUCUCGCUCACCGCAGGCGGCGUCGCGUUGUUCGCCUGUCCCCUGAGCUACGCGCUCACGGCAGCGCCUUCCAUCGUCUGCCUCACCAACGGCACCUGGUCGGCCCCAGUGCCUCAUUGCAAAGAGGUUGUAUGCCCGGCGCCGGAGAGCCCAGAGCACGGCAGCGUGAGUACCGCCGCCCUUCGUCGCGUGGGUGACGUGGCCGUGUACUCUUGUGACGAGGCCUUCGUGCUGCAGGGACCGAGGAUCGUGACGUGCACCAACGCCGGGACGUGGUCCAAGCCUAAACCAAACUGUGUGAUCUCGUGUCAGUCGCCGGGCAACCCACGUAACGGGCGGGUGUCGCCACGCCUGCUGCGCUACCGCCUGGAGGCCCAACUUCUGGUCUCCUGCUCCCCAGGCUACAGACCAGCAGGGCCUGACCGGCUCAAGUGUCUCAGAACAGGCAAGUGGUCUGCGCCCCUCCCGCCGUGCGUGCCGGUCAUCGCGGGCUGAAAUUCUAACACAGCGAGGGGCGAGCUCAUUGCAAAGCCUUCAGACCAUUUGGUUGUGAUAGAGCCUGAGUCACUGAAGACGUAAGGAGUGAGAUGACGCAGACUUCGUGUAGCUAGCAACUUCAUUCUAUUCCCGAGAGAAAUGUAACUUACAUCAUCAGGUGGUUAUGAUGAAGGCGUCGUCAUGAUUUAAUUUUCACAGUAUUAAAACAAAUAA